rnacentral:rRNA from 1 species
CCUACGGGCGGCACCAGUGGGGAAUAUUGCACAAUGGGCGCAAGCCUGAUGCAGCCAUGCCGCGUGUAUGAAGAAGGCCUUCGGGUUGUAAAGUACUCUCAGCGGGGAGGAAGGCGAUAAGGUUAAUAACCUUGUCGAUUGACGUUACCCGCUGAAGAAGCACCGGCUAACUCCGUGCCAGCAGCCGCGGUAAUACGGAGGGUGCAAGCGUUAAUCGGAAUUACUGGGCGUAAAGCGCACGCAGGCGGUCUGUCAAGUCGGAUGUGAAAUCCCCGGGCUCAACCUGGUAACUGCAUUCGAAACUGGCAGGCUGGAGUCUUGUAGAGGGGGGUAGAAUUCCAGGUGUAGCGGUGAAAUGCGUAGAGAUCUGGAGGAAUACCGGUGGCGAAGGCGGCCCCCUGGACAAAGACUGACGCUCAGGUGCGAAAGCGUGGGGAGCAAACAGGAUUAGAUACCCCCGUAGUC